UACAGAGGUCUCAAGCGUUGUUCGGAUUCAUUGGGCGUAAAGGGUGCGUAGGCGGCGCGGUAAGUCGGGUGUGAAAUCUCGGAGCUUAACUCCGAAACUGCAUUCGAUACUGCCGUGCUUGAGGACUGGAGAGGAGACUGGAAUUUACGGUGUAGCGGUGAAAUGCGUAGAUAUCGUAAGGAACACCGGUGGCGAAGGCGGCAUCCUGGACCAAUACUGACGCUGAGGAGCGAAAGCCAGGGGAGCAAACGGG
rnacentral:rRNA from 1 species